UGUAUUUUUAUUAGAGACAGGGUUUCACCAUGUUAGGCAGGAUGGUCUUGAUCUCCUGACCUCAUGAUCUGCCCACUUCGGCCUUCCAAAGUGCUGGGAUUACAGGCGUGAGCCACCGCGCCCGGCCUCACGUGUGGUAAAUUGUUUUCCAUUCUUCAGUCUCUUCUGCCAUGUGGUCUUGCCAUGGGUGAGUGAAGGGCAUAUGCUUCCUACCCAUUGAUCUGGGCUUCAUCAUGUGAAUCAAUUUGGUGUGGAAUGAGGGCAGAUAAGUUACUGUGCCAGUUGCAAGCUAUGACCACAAGAGGCCUUAGAGCUAAUCCUUAUGCUCCUGUAAAUGAAUGGUCAUUUUAAAUAGCAUCCCCCAAGAAGCCAUUUUCCCUUCAGACUAGAAAAAUCCAGAAAGAAUAUGUUUGAGGAAGUCUUGAAAAUCCAGUCUUCAGCCUUACACAGAGAUGGCCCAGCCAACUUGCAGACUCAUUGGAGAGAAAAGUAAAUACUUUUGUAAGUCACUAAAUUUGGUAUGCAAGAUUAUUGUAGUAGCAAAAGCUGACUAAUUCAUUAUGUCAUACUUCUGAUAGAGUAGGAUUGAAAAAGCAUUAGACCGCCCUUCAAAUAUUUUCUCACUUAGGAUUGUUUGUUGAGGUAUAAAUUACAUAGAGGAGGUAUAGUAGGUAUAAGCCGCACAGCCACGUAAGCUAACAUAGUCGGUGCAGCGCACAAUAAGCAUAGUAGCAAGUGAGCAAACAUAUACAAAAACCUAGCUAGCCAUGUCUGGCACAGAAUAAAUGGAUAAUAAAUUCUGGAAGCUUUUCUUCUGGAUUGACACAGAAAUAUUGGUGGUUCUUUCCUAAUCAAGGAUACAGGUCUGUUUUUCCAUUUGACUGUGGCUCUUUAAAGAUAGAGUCAGUAUUUUACUAGUGUUUGUAUCCUCAGCACUUCAUAUAAUAGACAAGCGUGUUUAGAAAGCACCCCACCCCCCUGUUUUUAAAAAUACAAGAUGAAAGAGAAAAGGUAAAAUCUCUCAGAUAACUCCUGAACUCAAUGACGAUGCUAUUUAUCAUGUAAGGUUUUAAAAAAAAUUACUCUCUUCAAUUUAUGACUAAAAGUGAUUUAUACUUUCUAUUAACUUUGUUUUUGACACCCAGGACUGACCAGCUAGAGUUUUCUGGUUCCUGAUACUGAGCUUUAUUUUUUUCUUUUUUCAAAUAAAGAAGACUAUUUAUUAAGGGGAAGAGUCCUUUGAGUAAGAAUAAGGUGUAUUUGCUUGAUGUCUAUUUGAUUUUUACCUAGAUAUAAUUGGGGAUAAUGAGUCUGGUGUUCUUCAGUCUUGCGCAUUUCUAAAAUAGAAGACAAAGACCUUGGGCCUUGCCUUGCAUAGAUGGUAUAAGAUACCUUACAAGACAUCAGCUGUGAGUCUUGCAAGGCACUGUGUCUUCAGAGAAUAUGAAGAAGAAUAAAACACCAUUCGUCCUCUCAAAGAGAUUAUAUUCUAAGGAGGAAGACUAGAAAGACCCAUAGAGACUAAAAUACAGAAAAUUAAGGCAAAGACCAUAAAUACAUUCAAGCAGAGAAAGCAUUUUGGGUUCAAAGAAGGUUCCAGAGAAACCACAUGCUUGUAGCCAAAUAAAGUCAAGGAAAUAAAAGAAAUCAGUGCUUAUCACUCAGAAGCUUGGCCAGAGUCAAGUGUGAAAAUUCAAUCUUGAAUAUGUGCACUCUUAAUGAGGGUUUGAGAGUCUACACAGUAAAUACAGAAGAGCAUUUUCUGCAUACUUUAGCAGCCAAAUGGGAUAUUAACCUGAUGUGUUAACGAGUGCUUUAGAAGUACUCCUGAGUAUCACUGCAGUGCUAGAGUUUAAAAGUCAUUCAUCUCAACUGCCUCAGUCCUGGAGCCUGAGUAAAAAAUUGGGAGAGUUUUUAUCUGAUCACGUGGAGGGAGAACAGUAUCCUUAAAGAGUAGAGCAAGGGAAUAGGAAUAUAAGAGAUUAAGGUAAAGAAAAAUUUCAUAUACAUACAAGGCUGUGAAUAUUCCUUCUCCAAAUUUAAUUUCUUUGUCCUGUUCCUUUCUGCUUAGGUCUAGCUUAAAUUUCUAACACAUGGUCUUUAGAGGACACAUUUAAACUGUAGCAUGUACCAUAGAAAUCUGCAAAUACUAUAAUAAGGGUUUGGUUUAUUGUUUUGUUGAUUAUCUAGACUGAAGAAAGUAAUAAGUAAAUGUAAAUAAUGAAGAUUAAACUUAAACGUAUGUCAUGUCUUGUGCUGAAAAUAAAAGAAGUUUCAAUUUACUGGAUAUAAUUUGCACAAAAGUGAGAGAACUAGUUUAGUCAUAUAUCACAUUAAAUGAUAAUAAAUUUUUUGAGAAAAGAGUUACUGGAUUGGAACACAAUUCCAUUUGGCAAAUCAUGGUUGGUUUGUACCAUAAGUUGGCUACAUAUAAAAAAAAUCUUUGACAAAUAUUAAUGAAUGUUUUUCAGGAGAAUCAUUGGCUACACAGAAUUUAUAAUAAAUAUUCUUAUAUUUUACUGUGUCUUAUAAAUUGUGUGCUACACAUAUUUUAUAUCAUGAAAAUUUAUAGUAAAAUUACAUAUAUAUGUAUCUGCACACAUUUCUUUUUUACAGAGAAUUGGUUUUAAACAUUUACCAGCACGUCAUUGUAAAAAAUAAAAUAAAAUUAUCCUCUAACUCUAAUACUUCUUAACUAAGUCAUUAUUAAGGUAGGAAAUUCCUUAACUCUUUUGAUUUGGGGAAAAAUAAGGCAUAUGGGAAGAAAAGAAAAUAACUCUGGAUUAAAAACAGUAUUUGAAAACACUGAACCAGCCACCCUUCAAGGUCGUGUUUAGUUCUUAACUGAAUGACACUGGCAGUUCAAGUGUGAGUGGAUUGUAAAUUAGACUCAAUACAAGGUGUUUUUUUUCUUUUUUUUUUUCCACUGAUAUUUGUUGUCUUUCUCAGGAAGCAUGACUUUAUUGUAAAGGUUUUAAAUUUUGAGACCCCUGGAGUGUGAGUCAAAUAUUUUAGGCUUAGGAUAGGAUUUAGAAGGAUAAGGAGUCUUCCUUUCCUCCAUUGGAGGGAUGUGGCACUAUCUGACAUUGGUGUUUCAAAGGAAAAAAUAGUUUUCAUCAAAGCUGCAACAUGAUUCUAAGCAAUAGACUGAUUCUUUCAGGCAAGGUAAUCAAUAUAGAACAUUAUUUCUUUAUUAACUAUGGAUAAGAGUAGUAUCUAAGAUCUUGUCUGUAUCUGAUACUAAACAAGGAUGUCAAUUAAUCUAUAAACAUAAACAUGCACUAAUUUAGGGGGCUAACUAUUCUCACCAUGAUUAAGCUUUGAGAAGCACUUUUAAUAAAUGAUUUGUGAGGGCUAGAGCAACAAGAGCCGAACUUAUUUUUGGACUAACUUAAUCCCCUGUAUUGGUUAAUAAACCAUCCCAAAACUUAGUGGCUUAAAGCAAUGAUUUAUUAAGUCUCACAAUUGUGUGGUCUGGCUGUGGAAUGCUCAUGCUGCUCUUGCCUGGCAUCCCUCAUGCUUUUUAUUUACGUAGGGGAUCAACUGGGCCUAAUAUGUCCUCAUCUGUAUGUCUGAGGCCCUGCUGAGAAAGCCAGAGGCUGAGACCUUUCUUCCCAUAGGAUGUCUCCUUACGCUGUAGCCCAGCCUGAAGUAUUUUUCUUUUCUUUUUUUUUCUUUCCUUAGUCAUUGAUUUUUAAAAACAUUUUAACUUUUAUUUUACAUUUAGGAAUACAUGUGCAGGUUUGUUAUAUAGGUAAACUAAUGACUCGGGAGUUUGUUGUACAGAUUAGUCACCCAGGUACUGUAAACAUGGUAUCCGAUAGUUGCUUGUUUUUUUUCUGAACCUCUCCCUCCUCCCACCUUCAUCCUCAAGUAGGCCCCAGUGUCUGUUGUUCCCCUCUUUGUGUACAUGUGUUCUCAUUAUUUAGCUCCCACUUAUGAGUGAGAACAUGCAGUAUUUGGUUUUCAGUUCCUGUGUUGAUUUGCUAAGGAUAAUGGCCUCUAGUUCCAUCCAUGUUUCUGCAAAUCACACAAUCUCUUUCUUUUUAUGACUGCAUAGUAUUCCACAGUGUAUAUGUACCACAUUGUCUUUAUCCAGUUCGUUGUUAAUGGGCAUUUAGGUUGAUUCCAUAUCUUUGCUACUGUGAAUAGUGCUGCAAUGAACAUACAUGUGCAUAUGUCUUUAUGGUAGAAUGAUUCCUUUGGAUAUAUACCCAGUAAUGGGAUUAUUGAGUCAAAUGGUGGCUCUUUGAGGAAUCACCACACUGCUUUCCACAAUGGUUGAACUAAUUUACACUCCUACCCACAGCGUAUAACCAUUCCUUUUUUCCUGCAACCUCGCCAUCAUCUGUUAUUUUUCUAGUUUUUAACAAUAGCCAUUUUGACUGGUGUGAGAUGAUAUCUCUUUGGCUUUUUGACUGGCAUUCAUCUAAUGAUUAGCAAUAUUGGACAUUUUUUAAUAUGCUUGUUGGCCUUAUAUGUUUUCUUUUGAAAAUAAUCCACUCAUGUCAUUGGCCAUUUUUUAACGAGGUUGUUUUUUAUUGCUUUUGCUUGCACAUUUGUUUAAGUUCCUUGUAGGUUCUGGAUACUAAACAUUUGUCAGAUGUGUAGUUUGUAAAUAUUUUCUCCCAUUCUGUAGGUUGUCUAUUUACUCUGGAUAAUUUCUUUUGCUGUGCAGAAGCUCUUUAGUUUGAUUAGAUCCCAUUUGUCAAUUUUUCCCAGCACCAUUUAUUAAAUAGGGAAUCCUUUCCCCAUUGCUUGUUUUUGUCAGGUUUGUCAAAGAUCAGAUGGUGGUAGAUGUGUGGUGUUAUUUCUGAGCCCACUGUUCUGUUCCGUUGGUCCAUAUAUCUGUCAUGGUACUAGUACCAUGCUCUUUUGGUUACUGUAGCCUUGUAGAAUAGUUUGAAGUCAGGUAGAAUGAUGCCUCCAGCUUUGUUCUUUUGGCUUAGGAUUCUCUUGUCUAUGCAGGCUCCUUUUUGGUUCCAUAUGAACUUUUAAGUAGUUUUUUCCAAUUCUGUGAAGAAAGUCAAUGGUAGCUUGAUGGGAAUAGCAUUGAAUCUAUAAAUUACUUUGGGCAGUAUGACCAUUUUUACUAUAUUGAUUCUUCCUAUCCAUGAGCAUGGAAUGUUCUUCCAAUUGUUUGUGUCCUCUUUAUUUUGUUGAGCAGUGGUCUGUAGUUCUCCUUGAAGAGGUCCUUCACAUCCCUUGUAAGUUGGAUUCCUAGGUAUUUUAUUCUCUUUGAAGCAAUUGUGAAUGGGAGUUCACUCAUGAUUUGGCUCUCUGUCUGUUAUUGGUGUAUAAGAAUGCUUGUGAUUUUUGCACACUGAUUUUGCAUCCUGAGACUGCUGAAGUUGCUUAUCAGCUUAAGGAAAUUUUGGGCUGAGACGAUGGGGUUUUCUAAAUAUACAAUCAUGUCAUCUGUAAACAAAGACAAUUUGACUUCCUCUUUUCCUAAUUAAAUACCCUUUAUUUCUUUUUCUUGCCUAAUUGCCCUGGCUAGAACUUCCAAUACUAUGUUGAGUAGGAGUGGUGAGAGAGGACAUCCUUGUCUUGUGCUGGUUUUCCAAGGGAAUGCUUCCAGCUUUUGCCCAUUCAGUGUGAUAUUGGCUGUGGGUUUGUCAUAAAUAGCCCUUAUUAUUUUGAGAUUCGUUUCAUCCAUACCUAGUUUAUUGGGAGUUUUUAGCAUGAAGUGCUGUUGAAUUUUGUCGAAGGCCUUUUCUGCAUCUAUUGAGAUAAUCAUGUGGUUUUUGUCAUAGGUUCUGCUUAUGUGAUGGAUUACAUUUAUUGAUUUGCAUAUGUUGAACCAGCCUUGCAUCCCAGGGAAGAAGCCAAUGUGAUCAUGGUGGAUAAGCUUUUUGAUGUGCUGCUGGAUUCGGUUUGCCAGUAUUUUAUUGAGGAUUUUUGCAUCGAUGUUCAUCAGGGCUAUUGGUCUAAAACUCCCUUUUUUUGUUGUGUCUCUGCCAGGUUUUGGUAUCAGUAGGAGGCUGGCCUCACAAAAUGAGUUAGGGAGGGUUUCCUCUUUUUCUAUUGAUUGGAAUAGUUGCAGAAAGAAUGGUACCAGCUCCUCCUUGUACCUCUGGUAGAAUUUGGCUGUGAAUCCUUCUGGUCCUGGACUUUCUUUGGUUGGUAGCUAUUAAUUAUUGCCUCAAUUUCAGAACCUGCUAUUGGUCUAUUCAGAGAAUCGACUUCUUCCUGAUUUAGUCUUCGGAUGGUGUAUGUGCCCAGUAAUUUAUCUAUUUCUUCUAGAUUUUCUAAUUUAUUUGCAUAGAGGUGUUUAUAGUAUUCUCUGAUGGUAGUUUGUAUUUCUGCGGGAUUAGUGGUGAUAUCCCCUUUAUCAUUUUUUAUUGUGUCUAUUUGAUUCUUCUCUCUUUUCUUCUUUAUUAGUCUUGCUAGUGGUCUAUCUAUUUUGUUGAUCUUUUCAAAAAACCAGCUCCUGGAUUCAUUGAUUUUUUGAAGGGUUAUUUGUGUCUCUAUUUCCUUCAGUUCUGCUCUGAUCUUAGUUGUUUCUUGUCUUCUGCUAGCUUUUGAAUUUAUUUCCUCUUGCUUCUCCAGUUCUUUUAAUUUUGAUGAUAGGGUGUCGAUUUUAGAUCUUUCCUGCUUUCUCUUGUGGGCAUUUACUACUAUAAAUUUCCCUCUACACACUGCUUUAAUUGCGUCCCAGAGAUUCUGGUAUGUUGUGUCUUUGUUCUCGUUGGUUUCAAAGAACAUCUUUAUUUCUGCCUUCAUUUUGUUAUUUACCCAGUAGUCAUUCAGGAGCAGGUUGUUCAGUUUCCACAUAGUUGUGCAGUUUUGAGUGAGUUUCUUAAUCCUGAGUUCUAACUGGAUUGCACUGUGUUCUGAGAGACAGUUUGUUGUGAUUUCUGUUCUUUUACAUUUGAUGAGGAGUGUUUUAUUUCCAAUUAUGUGGUCAAUUUUAGAAUAAGUGUGAUGUGGUGCUGAGAAGAAUGUAUAUUCUGUUGAUUUGGGAUGGAGAGUUCUGUAGAUGUCUAUUAGGUCCGCUUGGUGCAGAGCUGAGUUCAAGUCCUGGAUAUCCUUGUUAAUUUUCUGUCUUGUUGAUCUCUCUAAUAGUGACAGUGGGGUGUUAAAGUAUCCCAUUAUUAUUGUGUGGGAGUCUAAGUCUCUUCAUACAUCUCUACGAACUUGCUUUAUGUAUCUGGGUGCUCCUGUAUUGGUUGCAUAUAUAUUUAGGAUAGUUAGCUCUUCUUGUUGAAUUGAUGCCUUUACCAUUAUGUAAUGGCCUUCUUUGUCUCUUUUGAUCUUUGUUGGUUUAAAAUCUGUUGUAUCAGAGACUAGGAUUGCAACCCUUGCAUUUUUUUUUUCUUUUUUUUUUUUUUUUGCUUUCCAUUUGCUUGGUAGAUGUUCCUCCAUCCCUUUAUUUUGAGCCUGUGUGCGUCUUUGCACAUGAGAUCAGUCUCCUGAAUACAGCACACCGAUGGGUCUUUAUCCAAUUUGCCAGUCUGUGUCUUUUAACUGGGGCAUUUGGCCUGUUUAUAUUUAAGUUAAUAUUGUUACGUGUGAAUUUGAUCCUAUCAUUAUGAUGCUAGCUGGUUGUUUUGACCGUUAGUUGAUUCAGUUUCUUCAUAGCAUCAGUAGUCUUCACAAUUUGGCAUGUUUUUGCAGUGGUUGGUACUGGCUGUUCCUUUCCAUGUUUAGUGCUUCCUUCAAGAAGCUCUUGUAAGGCAGGCCUGGUGGUGACAAAAUGUCUCAGCAUUUAGUUAUCUGUAAAGGAUUUUAUUUCUCCUUUGCUUAUGAAGCUUAAUUUGACUGGAUAUGAAAUUCUGAGUUGAAAAUUCUUUUCUUUAAGAAUAUUGAAUAUUGGCUCCCACUCUCUUCUGGCUUGUAGGGUUUCUGCAGAGAGAUCUGCUGUUAGUCUGAUGGGCUUCCCUUUGUGAGUAACCAGACCUUUCUCUCCAGCUGCCCUUAACAUUUUUUUCCUUCAUUUCAACCUUGGUGCAUCUGAUGAUGAUGUAUGUCGGGGUUGCUCUUCUUGAGGAAUAUCUCUGUGGUGUUCUCUGUAUUUCCUGAAUUUGGAUGUUGGCUUGCCUUGCUAGGUUGGGGAAGUUCUCCUGGAUAAUAUCCUGAAGAGUGUUUUCUAACUUGGUUCCAUUUUCCCCGUCACUUUCAGGUACACCAAUCAAACAUAGAUUUGGUCUUUUCACAUGGUCCCAUAUUUCUUGGAGGCUUCAUUAGUUUCUUUUCACUCUUUUUUCUCUAAUCUUGUCUUCUUGCUUUAUUUCAUUAAUUUGAUCUUCAAUCACUGAUAUCCUUUCUUCUGCUUGAUGAAAUUAGCCAUUGAAACUUGUUUAUGCUUCAUGAAGUUCUCGUGCUGUAUUUUACAUCUCCAUUGGGUCAUUUAUUUUCUUCUCUACACUCAUUAUUUUAGUUUAGCCAUUCCUCUAACCUUUCUUCAAGGUUUUUAGCUUCCUUGUGAUGGGUUAGAACAUGCUCCUUUAACUCGGAGAAGUUUGUUUUACCCACCUUCUGAAGCCUACUUCUGUCAACUCAUCAAACUCAUUCUCCAUCCAGUUUUGUUCCAUUGCUGGCGAGAAGUGUGAUCCUUUGGAGGAGAAGAGGCAUUCCGGCUUUUGGAAUUUUCAGCCUUUCUGCUCUGGUUUCUCCCCAUCUUUGUGGUUUUAUCUACCUUUGGUCUUUGAUGUUGGUGACCUACAGAUGGGGUUUUGGUGUGGAUGUCCUUUUUGUUGAUAUUGAUGCUAUUCCUUUCUGUUUGUUAGUUUUCCUUCUAACAGACAGGCCCGUCAGUUGCAGGUCUGUUGAAGUUUGCUGGAAGUCCACUCCAGGCCCUUUUUGCCUGGGUAUCACCAGCAGAAGCUGCAGAACAGCAAAUAUUGCUGCCUGAUUCUUCCUCUGGAAGCUUCAUUCCAGAAGGGCACCUGCUAGAUGCCAGCCAGAUCUCUCCUGUAUGAGGUGUCUGUUAGCCCCUGCUGGGAGGUGUUUCCCAGUCAGGCUACAUGGGGGUCAGGGACACACUUGAGAAGGCAGUCUGUCCAUUAUCAGAGCUUGAACACUGCGCUGGGAGAAACAUGCUCUCUUCAGAGCUGUCAGGCAGGGACAUUUAAGUCUGUAGAAGCUUUGCCCACAGCUGUCCCUUUCCCCAGGUGCUCUGUCCCAGGGAGAUGAGGGUUUUAUCUAUAAGUCCCUGACUGGGGCUGCUGCCUUUUAUUCAGAUAUGCCCUGCCCACAGAGGUGGACUCUAGAGAGGCACUUGGCUUUGCUGAGCUGUGGUGGGCUCUGCCCAGUUCAAGCUUCCCGGCAGCUUUGUUUACACUGUGGGCAUUAAACCACCUACCCAAGCCUCAGCAAUGGCAGACGCCCCUCCCCCCACCAAGCUCCAGCAUCCCAGGUCAAUCUCAGACUGCUGCACUAGCAGCAAGAAUUUCAAGCCAAUGGAUCUCAGCUUGCUGGGCUCCAUGGGUGUGGGACCCCCUGAGUCAGGCACUGGAGGGAAUCUCCUGGUCUGCUGGUUGCAAACACGGUGGGAAAUGUGUAGUAUUUGGGCAGGAAUGUACCAUUCCUCCCAGUACAGUCUCUCAUGGCUUCCCUUGGCUAGGAAAGGGAAAUCCCUGACCACUUGUGCUUCCCAGGUGAGGUGAUGCCCCACCCUGCUUCGGCUCACCCUCUGUGGGUUGCACCCACUGUCCAACCAGUCUUAAUGAGAUGAACCAGAUACCUCAGUUGGAAAUGCUGAAAUCACUCAUCUGCAUCUAUCUCGCUGGGAGCUGCAGACUGGAGCUGUUCCUAUUCGGCCAUCUCGGAAGAGAGUCCUUAGUUUCCCAAAGUCUUAACUCAUUUCAGCGUUAACUCAAAAGUCCAUAGUCCAAAGUCUCAUCUGAGACAAAGCAAGUCCCUUUUGCCUGUGAGCCCAUAAAAUCAAAAGCAAGUUAGUUACUUCCUAGACACAACUAGGGUACAAGCAUUGGGAAAAUACAGCCAUUCCAACUGGGAGAAAUUUGGCAAAACAAAGGGGCUACAGGCCCCAUGCAAGUUCAAAAUUCAGCAGGACAGUCAAAUCUUAAAGCUCCUAAAUGAUCUGCUUUGACUCAAUGUCUCACAUCUAGGUCAUGCUGAUUCAAAAGGUGGGCUCCUACAGGCUUGGGCAUCUCCAUCCUUGUGGCUUUGCAGUGUAUAGCCUCCCUCCUGGCUGCUUUCAUGGGCUAGCAUUGAGUGUCUGCAGCUUUUCCAGGCACAUGGUGCAAGCUCUCAGUGGAUCUACCAUUUUGGGGUCUGGAGGAUGGCAGUGGCCCUCUUCUCACAGCUCCUCUAGGCAGUGCUCCAGUAGGGACUCUGUGUGGGUGCUAUGAUCCCACAUUUCCCCUUCACACUGCAUUAGCAGAGGUUCCUCAUGAAGGCCCAGCCUCUGCAGCAAACUUCCUCUGAAAUGUAGGCAGAGGUUCCCAAACCUCAAUUCUUGACUUCUGUGUACCUGCAGACUCAACACCACAUGGAAGCUGCCACAGCUUGUUGCUUACACUCUCUAAAGUGGUGCCUAAGCUGCACCUUGGUCCAUUUUAUCCAUGGCUAGAGCAGCUGGGGUGCAGGGCACCAAAUCCCUGCAGGGGGGCCCUGGGCUUAGCCCACAAAACCAUUAUUUCCUCUUAGGCCUCCAGGCCUGUGAUGGAACAGGAUGCCUCACAGGUCUCUGACAUGCCCUGGAGACAUUUUCCCUAUUGUCUUGGCAAUUAACAUUUGGCUUCUCAUUACUUCUGCAAAUUUCUGCAGCUAGUUUGAAUUUCUCCUCAGAUAAUGUUUGCUUUGUUUUGUUUUUUCUAUUGCAUUGUCAGGCUGAAAAUUCUCCAAACUUUUAUGCUCUGUUUUACUUUUAAAACUGAAUGCCUUUAACAGCACCCAAGUCACCUCUUGAAUGCUUUGCUGCUUAGAAAUUUCUUCUGCCAGAUACCCUAAAUUACCUCUCUCAAGUUCAAGGUUCCACAGAUCUCUAGGGCAGGGGCAAAAUGCCACCAGUCUUUUUGCUAAAACAUGAGAGGAGUCAUCUUCGCUCCAGUUCCCAACAAGUUCCUCAUCUUCAUGUGAGACCAUCUUAGCCUGGAUUUCAUUGUCCAUAUCAUUAUCAGCAUUUUGGGCAAAGCCAUUCAACAAGUCUCUGGGGAGUUCCAAACUCUCCCACAUUUUCCUGUCUUCUCCUGAGCCCUUCAAACUGUUCCAACUUCUGCCUGUUACCCAGUUCCAAAGUGACUUCUACAUUUUUGGGUAUCUUUUCAGCAGUGCCCCACUUUACUUGUACUAAUUUACUAUGUUAGUUCGUUUUCAUGCUGCUUAUAAAAACGUAACCAAGACUGGCAAUUUACAAAAGAAAGAGGUUUAAUGGACUUACAACUUCAUAUGGCUGGGGAGGCCUCACAGUUGUGGCAGAAGGCAAGAGGAAGCAAGUCACAUCUUAAAUGGAUGGUGGCAGGCAAAGAGAAAGAGAGCUUGGGCAUAGAAACUACCAUUUUUAAAACCAUCAGAUCUGGUGAGUCUUAUUCACUAUCAUGAGAACAGCACAGGAAAGACCCGCCCCAUAAUUUAGUUACCUCCAACCAGAUUCCUUGUGGGAAUUGUGGGAGUUACAAUUCAAGAUGAGAUUUGGGUGGGGACACAACCAAACCAUAUCAGCCAGAUAUUAAACUUUUGGUUGGAAUUCCUUUUCUUAAGAAUGUUGAAUAUAGGCCAUCAGUAUCUUCUGGCUUGUAGGAUUUGUCCUGAUAAGUCUGAUGUUAGCCUGAUGACGUUCCCUUUCUAGGUGACCUGUUUUUUCUCUCUAGCUGCCUUCAACAUUUUAGUUUUUAUUUUGACCCUGGAGAAUCUGAUGACUAUGUGUCUUGAAGAAGUCAUUCUUGUGAAGUAUCUUGUGGGGGUUCUCUGCAUUUCUUUUCCUGUUUUUUUUUUUCUUUUUUUUUUUUAGACAGAGUCUCUCCCUGUUGCCCAGGCUAGAGUGCAGUGGUAUAAUCUUGGCUCACUGCAAUCUUUGGCUCCUGGGUUCAGGUGAUUCUUGUGCCUCAGCCUCCUGAGUAGCUGGAAUUACAUACAUGCACCAUCAUGCAUGGCUAAUUUUUUGUAUUUUUUAGUAGAGACUGCAUUUUCCAUGUUGGCCAGGCUGGUCUAGAACUCUGGGCCUCACAUGAUCCUCCUGCUUCGGCCUCCCAAAGUACUGGGAUUACAGGUGUGAGCCACCACACCUGGCCCCUCUGCAUUUCUUAAAUUUGAAUGUUGGCUUCUAUAGCUAGGUUGAGGAAGUUCUCAUGGAUGAUAUCCUGAAAUAUGUUUCCUAAGUGGUUUUCUUUCUUGCCAUCUCUUCCGUGAUGCCACUGAUUGAUAAAUUUUGUCUCUUUAUAUAAUCCUAUAUUUCUUGGAGAUUUUGUUUGUUCCAUUUCAUUCUUUUGUUUCAUUCUUUUCUUUUCUGUCUUAUUUCAGAAAGCCAGUCAUCGAGCUCUGAGAUUCUUUUCUCUUCCUGAUCUAUUCCUCUGUUAAUAAUUGCAAUUGCAUUAUAAAAUUCUUGUAGUGUGUGUGUCAGCUCUGUCAGGUUGGUUACAUUCUUUUCCAUACUGACUAUUUUGUCUAUCAGCUUCUGUAUUGUUUUAUUGUGAUUCUUAGGUUUCUUGGAGUGGGUUUCAACAUUCUCCUGAAUCUCAAUGAUCUUUGUUCCUAUCCAUAUUCUGUUUUAUUUCCUGUGGUAUGGGUUGUAAUAUCUCCUGUUUCAUUUUUAAUUGAAUUUAUUUGGAUCUUCUCUCUUCUUUUCUUGGUUAAUCUCACUAAUGGUCUAUCAGUUUUAAACCAGCUUUUUGCUUCAUUUAUCUUUUUUUUUUUUUAAUUCAUUUACUUCUGCUCUGAUCUUUGUUGUUUCUUUUAUUCUGCUGGGUGUGGAUUUGGUUUGUUCUUGUUUCUCUAGUUCCUUGAGAUGUGACCUUAUGUUGUCUAUUUGUGCUCUUUCAGCCUUUUUGAUGUAGAUGUUUAAUGCUAUAAACUUUCCUCUUAGCACCACUUCUUCUGUGUCCCAGAGGUUUUGAUAGGUUGUGUCACUAUUAUGGUUUAGUUCAGAGAAUUUUUAAAUUUUCAUCGUGAUUUCAUUGUUGACCCAAUGAUCAUUCAGGAUCUGGUUAUUUAUUUUCCAUGUAUUUGAAUGGCUUCGAGGGUUAUUUUCAGAGUUGAUUUCCAAUUUUAUUCCACUGUAGUCUGAGAGAGUACUUGAUAUAAUUUUGAAUUUCUUAAAUUUAUUGAGACUUAUUUUGUGGCCUAUCAUAUGGUCUAUCUUGAAGAUUGUUCCAUGUGGUAAUGAAUAGAAUGCAUAUUCUUUGUUCAUUUUUUAAAUUCUUUUUUCUUAGUCUUUGUUGGGUUGGGUUAAUUCAAAAUCCUUGCCUUCAAGCUCUAAAGUUCUUACUCUACUUGCUUGAUUCUAUUGUUGAAACUUUUUGUAGUGUAUUUUGCAAUUCUCCAAGUGUGUCUUUCAUUUCCAGAAGUUGUGAUGGUUUUUUAAUCUAUGCUAUCUAUUUCUUGGGAGGUUUUUAAUCUAUAUCCUGUAUAAUUUUUAACAUUUCUUUAAGUUGUUUUUCAUGUUUCUCUAGUGCUUCCUUGAGUAGCUUAAUAAUCAACCUUUUAAAUUCUUUUUCUGGCAAUUCAGAGAUAUCUUCUUGGUUUGGAUCCAUUGCUGGUAAGCUAGUGUGAUCUUUUGGGGGUGCUAACAAAUCUUGCUUUGUCAUAUUACCAGAAUUGUUUUUCUGCUUCCUUCUCAUUUGGGUACACUGUUUCAAUGGAAAGAUCUGGGGCACAGGGCCAGCUAUUCAGAUUCUUUUGUCCCACAGGGUGAUCCCUUGAUGUGGUUUUCUUCCCCUUCUGCUAGUGAUGGUGCUUCCUGAGAGCUGGACGACAGUGAUUGUUAUUGCCCUUCUGGGUCUAGGCACACAGUGGAGCUACCGAUCUCUGGGCUGGUACUAGGAAAGUGUCUGCAAAGAGUCCUUUGAUGUGACCUGUCUUCAGAUAUCUCAGUCUUGGAUAUCAGCACCUGCUCCAGCGGAGCAUCAAUUGCUCUACAAUUUGGAGAUAUCAGACGAACAGAGGGAAAAUGCAGUCAGUGGUCUAAAGCUGCCCCUUAGGAAAUCUAAGGCUAUAUCUGGUUCCAUAAAGUCUUUAAUCAGUCAGUCAGAACAACUGCAGCAUUCCUGCCGCUCAGAAUACCUUAAUGGCCUUAGUAGCUGAGGUCCUCACAGCACUGGCAAGAGCAACAUGGCAUUGGAAUGGGAGGACUGAAGCUUAAUGUAGAAAUUUCUUAAAAGAUCAUAUGUACCCAUGAAUGUUCUUUUUCCAGCAAGACGGAAGAAGCCAAAGACUCUCUGGUCAUUGCAGAAGGAAGAAUGAGAGCCCAAGCCUGAGGAAGAUAAAAUGAGAUGAUUUGGCUUAAUAUGAAUUAAGGCAGCUGCCAGUGGUUCUGUAAUGAGCAAACUGAUUAUUUUUUUAUGUAGCCUCUAUUCACAUUUUUAUGUUUGAUUUUGUCCUUUGAUUGUAAUGACAGGUUGUGGUUACACAUUAUUAAAGAUGAAUACUAAAGAAGCGACUAAAUAAAAAGGCAAGAAAUUGAGGAUGAUUGGUAUAAUCCCAGCAGGGAAGCAGAUGAGGAAAGGCAGAAGAUAAAGUUUUUUUUAUGUCUCUGCUACUGUGUGCUCCUCACCUACACAUGUUGGAAUAAACUUAGAAUAUUUCCUUUAUUCAAUGGUAUUGUUGUGCUAUUUUUCCAAUGAUCAGAAUCUGUGGAUGGUGAAGGGAAUGUUCAACUCUGCAAUCCUUCCAACAAGUAAAGCCAGUAAUUUCACUUAUUAACAUAUAUAUCCUAGGGAAAUUUUCCCCAUGGCAAGAAGAAACAGUAUGAGUAUGUUUGCUAUAGUUUAAAUGUCCUCUCCCAAACUCAAGCUAUUGAGAAUAUUCAUUUGGAGAUAAUACAUAUUAUC
rnacentral:lncRNA from 1 species